AUUGAACGCUGGCGGCAGGCCUAACACAUGCAAGUCGAACGAGUGGCGGACGGGUGAGUAAUGUCUGGGAAAAUGCCUGAUGGAGGGGGAUAAAUACUGGAAACGGAAGCUAAUAUAGCAUACCAUAGGAGUUGCCCAGAGGGGAUUGGCUAGUAGGGUGGGGAAAGGCUCACACAGGCGACGAUCCCUAGCUGGUCUGAGAGGAUGGCCAGCCACCCUGGAACUGAGACACGGUCCAGACGCCUACGGGAGGCAGCAGUGGGGAAUAUUGCACAAUGGGCGCAAGCCUGAUGCAGCCAUGCCGCGUGUAUGAAGAAGGCCUUCGGGUUGUAAAGUACUUUCAGCGGGGAGGCGUUACCCGCAGAAGAAGCACCGGCUAACUCCGGGCCAGCAGCCGCGGUAAUUC
rnacentral:rRNA from 1 species